rnacentral:rRNA from 1 species
GCGUUCCCGCUUUUGUCAGUAUGUCUGAGGUGGUGAAGUGACAAGGAGCUCGCUCCUUUGACGUUAGCGGCGGACGGCCUGAGUAACACGUGGGUAACCUACCUAUAAGACUGGGAUAACUUCGGGAAACCGGAGCUAAUACCGGAUAAUAUUUCGAACCGCAUGGUUCGAUAGUGAAAGAUGGUUUUGCUAUCACUUAUAGAUGGACCCGCGCCGUAUUAGCUAGUUGGUAAGGUAACGGCUUACCAAGGCGACGAUACGUAGCCGACCUGAGAGGGUGAUCGGCCACACUGGAACUGAGACACGGUCCAGACUCCUACGGGAGGCAGCAGUAGGGAAUCUUCCGCAAUGGGCGAAAGCCUGACGGAGCAACGCCGCGUGAGUGAUGAAGGUCUUCGGAUCGUAAAACUCUGUUAUUAGGGAAGAACAUACGUGUAAGUAACUAUGCACGUCUUGACGGUACCUAAUCAGAAAGCCACGGCUAACUACGUGCCAGCAGCCGCGGUAAUACGUAGGUGGCAAGCGUUAUCCGGAAUUAUUGGGCGUAAAGCGCGCGUAGGCGGUUUUUUAAGUCUGAUGUGAAAGCCCACGGCUCAACCGUGGAGGGUCAUUGGAAACUGGAAAACUUGAGUGCAGAAGAGGAAAGUGGAAUUUCCAUGUGUAGCGGUGAAAAUGCGCAGAGAUAUGGGAGGAACACCAGUGGCGAAGGCGACUUUCUGGUCUGUAACUGACCGCUGAUGUGCGAAAGCGUGGGGGAUCAAACAGGAUUAGAUACCCUUGGUAGUCCACGCCGUAA